rnacentral:misc_RNA from 1 species
UAUAUCAACAUAUAUCAGUUUGAUAUGUGCUUGGAUGAUGAAGGUGUGCUGGCUAUACAGUUAGCUCCUUUUAAAUGCAUUAGCAGAAUCAUAAAGAAUUGGCUUCAGUUUGAUAAUUGUUUUUAUCUAUGCUGUUGCUUAUUGCUUUUGUGUUCAGCUGAUAAUUGUCUUUGGACUGCCUUUAAGGCACAAGAAUGAUAUAU